GACGAACGCUGGCGGCGUGCUUAACACAUGCAAGUCGAGCGGAAAGGCCCUUUCGGGGGUACUCGAGCGGCGAACGGGUGAGUAACACGUGAGUAAUCUGCCCUUGGCUUCGGGAUAGCCACCGGAAACGGUGAUUAAUACCGGAUACGACACAUCACUGCAUGGUGCGUGUGUGGAAAGUUUUUUCGGCCAGGGAUGUGCUCGCGGCCUAUCAACUUGUUGGUGGGGUAAUGGCCUACCAAGGCUUCGACGGGUAGCCGGCCUGAGAGGGUGGCCGGCCACACUGGGACUGAGACACGGCCCAGACUCCUACGGGAGGCAGCAGUGGGGAAUAUUGGACAAUGGGCGGAAGCCUGAUCCAGCAACGCCGCGUGAGGGAUGACGGCCUUCGGGUUGUAAACCUCUUUCAGCACAGACGAAGUUUUGUUCUUUUGGGCAAAGUGACGGUAUGUGCAGAAGAAGGACCGGCCAACUACGUGCCAGCCGCCGCAGUAAGAC
rnacentral:rRNA from 1 species